rnacentral:misc_RNA from 1 species
GUCCGAUCUGUCAUCACCAAUGCAUAGAACAAAGUCUGCUUGUCUCCCGCUGUCCACCAUCGAUGACAAGAUCUUCUCAGCAACAAGACCUUUCGUCACCCCCUGAGGCUUGACUUCCACGAUGAACUGGCCACUCUUUACUAAGACUGGCUCAUUGGCAAGUACACUCUCUAGGUGAUCAAGCAUUUCCUUCGCCUGCGCAGAUCCAAAGCCUAAGUCUGCGUCUUGGU